UGCAGUCGAGCGGACAGAUGGGAGCUUGCUCCCUGAUGUUAGCGGCGGACGGGUGAGUAACACGUGGGUAACCUGCCUGUAAGACUGGGAUAACUCCGGGAAACCGGGGCUAAUACCGGAUGGUUGUUUGAACCGCAUGGUUCAAACAUAAAAGGUGGCUUCGGCUACCACUUACAGAUGGACCCGCGGCGCAUUAGCUAGUUGGUGAGGUAACGGCUCACCAAGGCAACGAUGCGUAGCCGACCUGAGAGGGUGAUCGGCCACACUGGGACUGAGACACGGCCCAGACUCCUACGGGAGGCAGCAGUAGGGAAUCUUCCGCAAUGGACGAAAGUCUGACGGAGCAACGCCGCGUGAGUGAUGAAGGUUUUCGGAUCGUAAAGCUCUGUUGUUAGGGAAGAACAAGUACCGUUCGAAUAGGGCGGUACCUUGACGGUACCUAACCAGAAAGCCACGGCUAACUACGUGCCAGCAGCCGCGGUAAUACGUAGGUGGCAAGCGUUGUCCGGAAUUAUUGGGCGUAAAGGGCUCGCAGGCGGUUUCUUAAGUCUGAUGUGAAAGCCCCCGGCUCAACCGGGGAGGGUCAUUGGAAACUGGGGAACUUGAGUGCAGAAGAGGAGAGUGGAAUUCCACGUGUAGCGGUGAAAUGCGUAGAGAUGUGGAGGAACACCAGUGGCGAAGGCGACUCUCUGGUCUGUAACUGACGCUGAGGAGCGAAAGCGUGGGGAGCGAACAGGAUUAGAUACCCUGGUAGUCCA
rnacentral:rRNA from 1 species